ensembl:miRNA
CUUUAUUGAGUCCCUACUAUGUUCCAGGCACUGGGUAUCGUAGGUGCCUGGAACAUAGGAGGGACUCAAUAAAG